AUUGAACGCUGGCGGCAUGCUUUACACAUGCAAGUCGAACGGUAACAGGCCGCAAGGUGCUGACGAGUGGCGAACGGGUGAGUAAUGUAUCGGAACGUGCCCAGUCGUGGGGGAUAACGCAGCGAAAGCUGUGCUAAUACCGCAUACGAUCUAUGGAUGAAAGCGGGGGACCGUAAGGCCUCGCGCGAUUGGCGCGGCCGAUAUCAGAUUAGGUAGUGGGUGGGGUAAAGGCGCCACAAGCCCACGCUCUGUAGCUGGUCUGAGAGGACGACCAGCCACACUGGGACUGAGACACGGCCCAGACUCCUACGGGAGGCAGCAGUGGGGAAUUGUGGACAAUGGGCGCAAGCCUGAUCCAGCAAUGCCGCGUGCAGGUCGAAGGGCUUCGGGUUGUAAACUGCUUUUGUACGGAGCAAAACGGCUCUCUCUAAUAAAGGGAGCUAAUGACGGUACCGUAAGAAUAAGCACCGGCUAACUACGUGCCAGCCGCCGCAGUAAAAC
rnacentral:rRNA from 1 species